AUGAGCCAAAGCUUUGUCUCCUUCUUUAUCUCUUGCAAGAGGAUCAUGGGCAAUGCAGAUUUAUCGUGGAAGAUCCUAGUAUUCCUUUCAUUUCAACCUGUCCAAGAGACUAGCAUGGGUAAAGAGACUAUAAAUCUGCAAUUAUACUUGACAGAAAUGAGCUAUACAAGUGAAAAUAACUUGACGGUUGAAGAGAUAAGAUGUUUCCCAUCAGCACUGAAUUCAAGGUCAAGGAUGGAUUUUUUUAUAUUAAGAAAGAAAUUUGUGCUCUCAACAUUUAUUUAUUUAAAUAUAAGUAGCCAAUAUGAUUAG
rnacentral:rRNA from 1 species